GCCAAGGCUGGCAGUAAUGGAGCGAAGCCACGGAGAGAUGACACCGGGCUGGGAUAAAAAGCAAGGCACCUGGAGACCAAUUAAAAAAUGACAUCUAAAGCCUGCUAUCAAUUUGGACUCUGCACAAGCUCCAGCAGGGCUGACCUCGACCAAGGACGACGGCGGCGAAGAUGGCAGCAAGAAAAGCUCGCCGAGGAGGAGAAGAGGAGGAGAUUACUAACAGAGCGCCGACACGAGCACUUGACUGAGGAGAGCGGAGGAAAAGAUGUUCAACAGGGGACUGCCGUCAGGGCACGCAUCCGUCCCAUGGCAGCACAUCUGCACAGCGGGCGGUAACGCAGGAAGCAGAGGCGGAGGACUGAGACAGGUGGGGACAGAUGGGUUCAGAAGAUGUAGCAGGAAGCAUCUGAAUCCCAAAUGACACUUCGGAAAAAAAUUUCAAAGCCACAGAAACAGCCUGAAUGUCGAGCUUGUGAAAAAAAAAAAAAAAAAA